rnacentral:rRNA from 1 species
AGAGUUUGAUCCUGGCUCAGGGUUAACGCUGGCGGCGUGCCUAACACAUGCAAGUCGAACGAGGCUUCUCGUCCCGUAAGGGAUGGGAUGUCCUAGUGGCGAACGGGUGAGUAGCACGUGGGCAACCUACCCUUCCUGUGGGGGACAACUCCGGGAAACCGGGGCUAAUACCGCAUUCGGUCACCGUUCGCAUGGACGGUGCAGAAAGCAGCAAUGCGCAGGAGGAUGGGCCCGCGGCCUAUCAGCUAGUUGGUGGGGUAACGGCCUACCAAGGCGAAGACGGGUAGCUGGCCUGAGAGGACGACCAGCCACACGGGGACUGCGACACGGCCCCGACCCCUACGGGAGGCAGCAGUGAGGAAUCUUCCGCAAUGGGCGAAAGCCUGACGGAGCAACGCCGCGUGUGGGAUGAAGUAUCUCGGUAUGUAAACCACUGUCGGAGGGGAAGACCAAGACGGUACCCUCCAAGAAAGCCCCGGCUAACUACGUGCCAGCCGCCGCGGUAAUAC